GGACCUACGGGAGGCAGCAGUGGGGAAUAUUGCACAAUGGGGGAAACCCUGAUGCAGCAACGCCGCGUGAGUGAAGAAGUAUUUCGGUAUGUAAAGCUCUAUCAGCAGGGAAGAGAAUGACGGUACCUGACUAAGAAGCCCCGGCUAACUACGUGCCAGCAGCCGCGGUAAUACGUAGGGGGCAAGCGUUAUCCGGAUUUACUGGGUGUAAAGGGAGCGUAGGCGGCAGGGCAAGCCUGAUGUGAAAGCCCGGGGCUCAACCCCGGGACUGCAUUGGGAACUGCCCCGCUCGAGUGCCGGAGGGG
rnacentral:rRNA from 1 species